CCCUAGCUCAGUGGUAGAGCACCUGCUUGGCAUGCAGAAUGUCCCAGGUUCUAUCCGCAGCAAGA